UACGUAGGGUGCGAGCGUUGUCCGGAAUUAUUGGGCGUAAAGAGCUUGUAGGCGGUUUGUCGCGUCUGCCGUGAAAAUUCGAGGCUCAACCUCGAACUUGCGGUGGGUACGGGCAGACUAGAGUGUGGUAGGGGAGACUGGAAUUCCUGGUGUAGCGGUGAAAUGCGCAGAUACCAGGAGGAACACCGAUGGCGAAGGCAGGUCUCUGGGCCACUACUGACGCUGAGAAGCGAAAGCAUGGGGAGCGAACAGG
rnacentral:rRNA from 1 species